rnacentral:misc_RNA from 1 species
CCGAGUUCUACGCUCAUAACCCUUUGUGAACCAUUAUACACUGUUGCUUCGGCGGCGCGGCCCCCCCGGGGACGUGCCCGCCGGUAUAACCAGUAUCUCUGUUCGAACCCGACGUAACUUCUGAGUGUUCCAAAAGAACUAUUA